rnacentral:rRNA from 1 species
AUUGAACGCUGGCGGCAGGCCUAACACAUGCAAGUCGAGCGGAUGAAGGGAGCUUGCUCCUGGAUUCAGCGGCGGACGGGUGAGUAAUGCCUAGGAAUCUGCCUGGUAGUGGGGGAUAACGUCCGGAAACGGGCGCUAAUACCGCAUACGUCCUGAGGGAGAAAGUGGGGGAUCUUCGGACCUCACGCUAUCAGAUGAGCCUAGGUCGGAUUAGCUAGUUGGUGGGGUAAAGGCCUACCAAGGCGACGAUCCGUAACUGGUCUGAGAGGAUGAUCAGUCACACUGGAACUGAGACACGGUCCAGACUCCUACGGGAGGCAGCAGUGGGGAAUAUUGGACAAUGGGCGAAAGCCUGAUCCAGCCACGCCGCGUGUGUGAAGAAGGUCUUCGGAUUGUAAAGCACUUUAAGUUGGGAGGAAGGGCAGUAAGUUAAUACCUUGCUGCUUUGACGUUACCAACAGAAUAAGCACCGGCUAACUUCGUG